ACAGGGUUAGUGCCUGGGCUAGCGGCAGCCAUGACUGAGCACUUACCCCAAGCCUAGGACUUCCUAACAAGUUAGGUGUGGUUGUCGAAUAUUCACCGGAUCGCGGAAACCUUCCGAAAAGAACAAGAUGAGAGCUGCCAGGGUCAGCAACAGGAACACACACGAACAAUCGAGACACGGACAAGGCAAAACGCAAGGACAGAAAAUUCACACAGCCGGCCAAGGCUUUACCAUGAACGAGCUGACUGAGACAGACCACACGGAUACGGGUGGAGCAAAGAGCCGUGGUGCCCUCUGUAUUCGCUCCCACUCCAGCUGCAUAGCUACCACCAUUAUCAUACUGCUCUCAGUGGGAGUGACUGUGGGACUAACGUUCAUCAAUAAAAAGGAGAUAUCUGAGCUGUCGACCAUUGUUGACGUUUUAAAGCGUGACCUGAACAAGGAGCAAAGCAAAACAGCUAUCUUGGAGCAGCGUCUUCACGAGAUGAGUGAGUCACCUGGUGAGUUGGGUUUUCAGUUGUUAAAUGUCAUUUUUCUUUAUCUACUAAUUUUUCAAUGUGAUAUUUGUUUUGGUAUAUUAGGCAGCAUCAUUAGUAUAUAUUAACAACGGGAAAAUUUAUGGCCUAUUGUUAGUCCAUUAAAUGAUUA